GGACAGUGACGACAAGAAAGCUCUUAGGUCACAGUGCCCGUCUGCAAACAGCCGCCCUGAGCUGGAAGGAGAGCUGGCCCCUGGCACUCGAACCCAGGUCACCCUCAGUUUUCUAGAAUUUGCCAUGGCCAAUGACGAAUCAGGACCUGCCAUGGCGCACACAGACGCUGAAGUACUCCAGGAUGUCGUGACGGACGAAGCACAGCACUGACAGGCCCGGCCCGUUGCAGGCGUGGUAGAGCUGCCGGAAAACCCACAGACGGUCAACGGCUGGAGAGGACAGUGCUGGAGCCCCAGACCCAGGGCUGGUCCCCGAGCCAUGGCCCUGGUGAGCCAGGCCACUCGCUAGCUGCGAGACCUUGGGCCGAUGGCUUAAUGGCUCCAAGUCUCAGUUCCCCCAUCUGAAAAAUGCGGGCACUGCUGACUGCUCCCCUCAGAGGCUCUUGUGUACAGGGGCAGGGUGUCACUCAGACAAAGCCCACAGAGGUGGGGAACCUAAGACGUGGCCUACACAUCCAUUCCCUCCAUCCUGGUGCCCUGACAGCAGGCUUCUCUUCAUCCUUUCACCAACAUGGGAUGUGAGCACAGCACCUUUUUUUGGGGUGCCAGUCUGCUCUUCAGGUGCCUGUGGGGCCUUCCCUCGCCCCCCACAAUGUACCUCUCUGAUGGCUGGGCUACCCCACAGUGGAAGUUCUCAGACCUAAGUGGGCAUUAAAACCCCUGGGGGCUUGUGGAGACUCAGGUUGCUGGGGAGCCCACCUUGAGAGUCCCCGACUUAGCAGGUCUGGGUUGGGGUCGGAGAUCUGUGUUUUUUUGCAGUUUUCAGGCUGGUGCCAAUGCUGCCGGUGGGGAACUCACUUUGAGAACCACAGGUCUACAGCUGUCGGCUUCUGUUUCUUUAAAGUGCAGGAAG